GUCGCGCGCGCGUGCCCGCCCCGAGCGCGUGCAGCGGCGUCCGUCCGCCACGAGGUGACGGAGCGGGCGGUAACGGCUGCCGGCUGUGCGGAGCGGCUCGGCGGCGUCGGGGCUGUGAGAGAGCCGAGCGGGACGGGGCGAGCGGCCUGAGGCAACGGGAGCUGGGCUCUGGGCGUGUGGGUUUUCCCUUCUCGUCUUUGUUUGUUUGCUUUUGAACGCUGAGGGAAAGUUGCCUGUGCGCGCUGCAAAGCGUGGCGUUGUCCUACGGACCGUUAUUUUUAAGGCGUGAAGAGCAAGGUUGGAUUAGAGGAAGUUUCUGCUCUUUGCUUCGGUCUCCUCCAAUGCAGAGAAUGACAGAGAGAACAGCAUUCCCAAAGAGAACGUGGAUUUCCUGCCUUUAUUCCCGUGUUAUUGACAUCCUUUCACCCACAGCCAGGUGGGCACAUGGAUACAGAUGUUUUCCUUGCUGAGAUAUUACCACAGCCCCUUCGUUUUUUUUCUAUUCUAUUGAAUUCAGCUAUAAACGUGUUCCAGAGGUAACCAGACAUUGUGAUCCUCUUAGGAAUAUCAUAUGCGCACAUAUUCAGCUGUAACAGCAGAAAGUGCCUAAAGAAGAGCGCCAGAUGUGACACCAUAUGAUCCCUUACCACCCUGAGCACAGCUCACUGUGACAUUAGCGCUUUCUGAAUCAGAAGUAUUGCAGAUGAAUUUACACUGGGCCAAAAAAAUUGAUUUCCACAUCCCAGACUAAUUCUUCCCUUAUAGUUCCUAUCUCCUGUUUGUCUUUUGUUUGUUUUGGUUAGAGGAAAAAGCAAGCCAACAAACUGAGCACUGUUGAACAUUGUUCUGCUGAACAGUGAAGAAACAUUGAACACUGAUCACUGUUGCUCCAUAGAUCACAGGAUAGCCUUUAGUGUUAACAUCUAAAUCCACUAGAUAGUUAUACAGAUUACUUACCACGCAAUAAUUAGCUUUUAAUUCAGCGGUGUGUCUGUGCAAAAACACCCUGAAGAAAUGUAUUCACAGCUCAUUUUAUGGAGGAGUUAUAUUUGUCAAGUCCAAGGGUGAGAAGAGAUCCAAUUGCAUUCCACGUGAAGCAAAGCAGUCAGUUUCAAAGUCUGCUGUGCCUACGUAGCGUGGAAUAUGUGGUCACUGAGAGUAAUACCACUCACCACAAUGGAACCCAUCUUUUACCAAAAAAAAAUCCAUAAAACUGUCAGAUUACAGUACACAAGAACACAAUGGUUUCAUGUAGUUUCAUGAGUGGUGUUCCAAAAGUGGGCUUGGUGGAAUGUCGUUUUCUCUAAUGAGUCAGCAGAAGGGAAGGCGUAAUGCCCUUCCCUUUUAGUUCCUGUACGUUAAUCUCUUCAGAGCAAGCUUGCCAUAGCUCAGGUGUCAGAUGCUGUUUAUAACUAUGCUGGAAACAUAACAGAACAAAAUAGUAUCAUCCGUUUCUCUUGAGACUUUACAUGCACAUUUUAAGUUACCUGUUUUAUCGCUGCUGCUCUUAAUUCAAGCACUGUAUCAGCAGUUUUGUAAGAUGGCUCAAAGGUUUCUGUCUAUGAAUUUGCCCAGUUUCUCUUUGACUCUGUGGCCAAAUGCCAACUGUGAUUUGAGAAGUGUUCAUCACCUUGCCUUGUUUAUCUGUUAUUUAAACUGAAGACUCCUGUUCUUAAUGGCCGUUCCUUACAUGCAGCUAUUCCCAUUCACCAGUAUGUCAGAUGAUUUUAAGAUGGAAAGCAAGAACUGCCCCCACUAUUCAAGUCUGAAUGGCUGUAGAAGCAGUGUGGAUUUAUGCAUUGGCAUAAUAAUGAUUUAUAUUUUAUUCUUUCUUAAUAAUUCCAUAUGUUUGGUUUGACCAUUACUGAGAAUCUAACAUAUAUUUUCAUAGCACAGCCAAUUGUGUAUUUCUCUGAAGUGAUCCAGAUUAUCAGGUUAUUAAUUGUGAAACUAACAGUGAGGAAAAUGCCAUUUUUUGCUAAAGUGGAUGUUUCAUAAGUAGAGUAUUUUAAAUGUGAGUAUAGGUUUAGUUUUAUUUUGCAUUCCUGUAGUAUUUUAUAUUAUAUGGUUUCUUCUUGUGAUAUGUUGAUUGCUGUUUGUCAUUCACUUCUUUUCUCUUCAGUUAAAAUUGUACUUUUUGAUUUUUUUUUUCUACAAACUUAAGUUAUUUUAGAGAACUAUACAAGUAUGUAAUAACUGCUUUUACAACUUUUAUCAAAGAAACUGUUGGACACCAUUUCCUGAAGCUUUUAUUAUAAAACCAAUAUAUGUGAUGUGAACAACUAUGGCAGUUCUCACAAAAUUAGUGUAAAGUUGUCCCAUGUUCCCUCAUCAAUGUGUUUCAUAACACAGGUUAGAGAAAACAGCUGUUGAAUACCUUUGUGGCCAUUCAGUUCUUCUGCUGUGUCAAUCAGCUCUGCCUGUGUCAAUCUAGUUGUUUGCCAUGUAGAUUUUUAUAUCUCCAAAGAAGUGUCUAAAACUGUCAGAUCACUUCAUGAGGGCCACUGUACACCAUUACAUCAAGAUGUUUUCCCAGGUGUGGAGGUCAGCACAGCACUUAUGCAUUGCUUAAAUUUCAGAUACCAUAAUGUAAGGCCUUCGUAUUCGUAUUUUCUUUACAUGACUGAAAAACCACUAAGUUCAUUCAUUUCAGUCACUAUUUGUCAUAUUUGGAUGAAAAAAAAAAAGCGUGAAAAUAUAUAAAAUUCUGGUUCGAUAUUUUUUUUUUAACUGAAAAAAAGUUAUGUGAUUUUUUUUCUUUGUCUCCUUUCUGUGAUUUUGUAUUUAACUAUUGUAUUUUACAUCAAAUAUGUCACUGUUGGAUAAUUUUAAAGACCAAUGCACAAGAUCUGAAUAGAAAUAAACUGCAAAAUGGUUGACAUUACCUCCUACCUGCAGAGGGCUCAGACUGAGCCUAAGAGGCGGCAUAUAGGAGGAUUCAGAAGGAAGUGAAUGACUUCCUUCCAUUGUAAGCUUUUCCUUGUUCGUAGAGAUUAUUCUUGUCUCUAAUGCCCACUGUGCUGCUGCCUUGGGAGUAUGGGAGCAAUUACACUGAAGCACUUGGAGAGCAGAUGAAACUCAAUCCAGCACCUGCCUCACUGCUUUUCCUAGCUUAUCUUUGAAGGCGGGGGAGAAGCUUCUGUGCAACCCUUUGCACUGCUGCAUUACGAGGGUAUAGGACAAGGGGGAAUGGUUUUAAACUAAGAGGAGAGAUUUAGGUUAGAUAUGAGGAGGAAGUUUUUCACACAGAGAGUGGUGAUGUACCGGAACAGGUUGCCCGAGGAGGCUGUGGAUGCCCCAUCCCUGGAGGCAUUCAAGGUCAGACUGGAUGUGGCUCUGGGCAGCCUGGUCUGCUGGUAGGUGAUCCUGCACAUAGCAGGGGGGUUGAAACUUGUUGUUCGUUGUGAUCCUUUUCAACCCAGGCCAUUCUAUGAUCACUUUAGUCAGUUUGGUUUAGAAGAAAUUUUUAAUAGCUAGACCUAAAGUCAAUUUGGUUUUGAUUGUAGAAAGAAAAAAGAGUACUUGUCAUUUAAUGUGCUUGUGUAACAAUCCAUUUAACUUCUGGAAGUUCUUCCUGAGUGUAUAUUUCAUCUAAUUUUCUUGUAUCAAGUUUUAAAGAAAUCCUCCCCCCUCUUUAUAGCCAUAAAUGUAGCUCCUAACAUCACUUCCACCACUUACCAGCAUAUACGCAGAACAACAGUCUUGGCAUAGUUCAGCAUCCCGCGAAACCAAAUGUGCUUUUGCCAACUAGAGGAAAUAUCUGUCUAUUGUUCUCUGACUGUUCUCUGGAGUAAACAGACUUGGAGGGAGUCACUUAUUGCUGUAGGAAGUUGUUACAGAAUGGCCUCGUAGCAGGGACUACGGCAAUAUUUACUGAGCGCUCUGACACUGGAAAGCUGCUCAGCUUCAAGCUCACUUAAUAAAGCGUUUAUAUAUCCUGUUGCAGUGCACAUCAAGCGCUGCUGAAGAAAGGAAGUUAUUUCAGCUCAAGUGAAUUUUCAUGAAUCGCAAAGCUGAAAAAUAAUAAGUCAGGUAACUGGAAUCAGUUUGGACGUUUUUU